GAUGAACGCUGGCGGCGUGCCUAAUACAUGCAAGUCGAGCGAACAGACGAGGAGCUUGUUCCUCUGACGUUAGCGGCGGACGGGUGAGUAACACGUGGAUAACCUACCUAUAAGACUGGGAUAACUUCGGGAAACCGGAGCUAAUACCGGAUAAUAUAUUGAACCGCAUGGUUCAAUAGUGAAAGACGGUUUUGCUGUCACUUAUAGAUGGAUCCUCGCCGCAUUAGCUAGUUGGUAAGGUAACGGCUUACCAAGGCAACGAUGCGUAGCCGACCUGAGAGGGUGAUCGGCCACACUGGAACUGAGACACGGUCCAGACUCCUACGGGAGGCAGCAGUAGGGAAUCUUCCGCAAUGGGCGAAAGCCUGACGGAGCAACGCCGCGUGAGUGAUGAAGGUCUUCGGAUCGUAAAACUCUGUUAUUAGGGAAGAACAAAUGUGUAAGUAACUAUGCACGUCUUGACGGUACCUAAUCAGAAAGCCACGGCUAACUACGUG
rnacentral:rRNA from 1 species